rnacentral:rRNA from 1 species
UAGGGAAUCUUCGGCAGUGGACGGAAGUCUGACCGAGCAACGCCGCGUGAGUGAAGAAGGUUUUCGGAUCGUAAAGCUCUGUUGUAAGAGAAGAACGAGUGUGAGAGUGGAAAGUUCACACUGUGACGGUAUCUUACCAGAAAGGGACGGCUAACUACGUGCCAGCAGCCGCGGUAAUACGUAGGUCCCGAGCGUUGUCCGGAUUUAUUGGGCGUAAAGCGAGCGCAGGCGGUUAGAUAAGUCUGAAGUUAAAGGCUGUGGCUUAACCAUAGUAGGCUUUGGAAACUGUUUAACUUGAGUGCAAGAGGGGAGAGUGGAAUUCCAUGUGUAGCGGUGAAAUGCGUAGAUAUAUGGAGGAACACCGGUGGCGAAAGCGGCUCUCUGGCUUGUAACUGACGCUGAGGCUCGAAAGCGUGGGGAGCAAACAGGAUUAGAUACCCUGGUAGUCCACGCUGUAAACGAUGAGUGCUAGGUGUUAGACCUUUUCCGGGGUUUAGUGCCGUAGCUAACGCAUUAAGCACUCCGCCUGGGGAGUACGACCGCAAGGUUG